rnacentral:rRNA from 1 species
CCAGAGAACUUUCCAGAGAUGGAUUGGUGCCUUCGGGAACUCUGAGACAGGUGCUGCAUGGCUGUCGUCAGCUCGUGUUGUGAAAUGUUGGGUUAAGUCCCGCAACGAGCGCAACCCUUAUCCUUUGUUGCCAGCGGUUAGGCCGGGAACUCAAAGGAGACUGCCAGUGAUAAACUGGAGGAAGGUGGGGAUGACGUCAAGUCAUCAUGGCCCUUACGAGUAGGGCUACACACGUGCUACAAUGGCGCAUACAAAGAGAAGCGACCUCGCGAGAGCAAGCGGACCUCAUAAAGUGCGUCGUAGUCCGGAUUGGAGUCUGCAACUCGACUCCAUGAAGUCGGAAUCGCUAGUAAUCGUGGAUCAGAAUGCCACGGUGAAUACGUUCCCGGGCCUUGUACACACCGCCCGUCACACCAUGGGAGUGGGUUGCAAAAGAAGUAGGUAGCUUAACCUUCGGGAGGGCGCUUACCGCUUUGUGAUUCAUGACUGGGGUGAAGUCGUAACAAGGUAAGCGUAGUGCU